rnacentral:rRNA from 1 species
GCCUUGAGGCUUGGCUUCCGGAGCUAACGCGUUAAGUCCACGCCCGGGGAAGUACGGCCGCAGAGUUAAAACUCAAAUGAAUUGACGGGAGCCCCCCCAACCGGGGAAGAUGGGGAUUUAAUUCAAUGCAACCCGAAAAACCUUACCUACCCUUGACAUCCUCGAAAUUUUCCAAAAAUGGAAUGGGGCCUUCGGGAACUGUGAAACAGGUGCUGCAUGGCUGUCCUCCGCUCGUGUUGUGAAAUGUUGGGUUAAAUCCCGCAACGAGCGCAACCCUUAUCCUUUGUUGCCAGCGCGUAAUGGCGGGAACUCAAAGGAAACUGCCGGUGAUAAACCGGAAGAAGGUGGGGAUGACGUCAAGUCAUCAUGGCCCUUACGAGCAGGGCUACACACGUGCUACAAUGGCAUAUACAAAGAGAAGCAAACUCGCGAGAGCAUCCCGAACUCAUAAAGUAUGUCCUAAUCCGGAUCUGAAUCUGCACCUCGACUCCUUGAAAUCGGAAUCGCUCGUAAAUCUACAUCACAAUGCUACGGUGAAUACGUGUCCUGGGCUUGUACACACCCCCCCUCACACCAUGGGAGUGGUUGCAAAAGAAAUACGUACCUCAACGUUCGGGAGGGCGCUUACCACAUUGUGAAUCGGGACGAGGGUGACCCUGACCAAAAAAACCAAAA